rnacentral:rRNA from 1 species
GAUGAACGCUGGCGGCGUGCUUAACACAUGCAAGUCGAACGAAGCACUUUUACCGGUUUCUUCGGAAUGAAGUUUUAGUGACUGAGUGGCGGACGGGUGUGUAACGCGUGGGUAACCUGCCUCACACAGGGGGAGAACCGUUGGAAACGGCUGCUAAUACCGCAUAAGCGCACAGUACUGCAUGGUACGGUGUGAAAAACUCCGGUGGUGUGAGAUGGACCCGCGUCUGAUUAGCUAGUUGGCAGGGCAACGGCCUACCAAGGCGACGAUCAGUAGCCGACCUGAGAGGGUGACCGGCCACAUUGGGACUGAGACACGGCCCAAACUCCUACGGGAGGCAGCAGUGGGGAAUAUUGCACAAUGGGGGAAACCCUGAUGCAGCGACGCCGCGUGAGCGAAGAAGUAUUUCGGUAUGUAAAGCUCUAUCAGCAGGGAAGAAGAAAUGACGGUACCUGACUAAGAAGCACCGGCUAAAUACGUGCCAGCAGCCGCGGUAA